rnacentral:rRNA from 1 species
ACACAUGCAAGUCGAACGGAAAGGUCUCUUCGGAGAUACUCGAGUGGCGAACGGGUGAGUAACACGUGGGUGAUCUGCCCUGCACUUUGGGAUAAGCCUGGGAAACUGGGUCUAAUACCGGAUAGGACCGCGCCAUGCAUGUGGUGUGGUGGAAAGCUAUUUGCGGUGUGGGAUGGGCCCGCGGCCUAUCAGCUUGUUGGUGGGGUGAUGGCCUACCAAGGCGACGACGGGUAGCCGGCCUGAGAGGGUGUCCGGCCACACUGGGACUGAGAUACGGCCCAGACUCCUACGGGAGGCAGCAGUGGGGAAUAUUGCACAAUGGGCGCAAGCCUGAUGCAGCGACGCCGCGUGGGGGAUGACGGCCUUCGGGUUGUAAACCUCUUUCACCAUCGGCGAAGCCUUCAGCUUUUGUUGGGGGUGACGGUAGGUGGAGAAGAAGCACCGGCCAACUACGUGCCAGCAGCCGCGGUAAUACGUAGGGUGCGAGCGUUGUCCGGAAUUACUGGGCGUAAAGAGCUCGUAGGUGGUUUGUCGCGUUGUUCGUGAAAUUCCCUGGCUUAACUGGGGGCGUGCGGGCGAUACGGGCAGACUGGAGUACUGCAGGGGAGACUGGAAUUCCUGGUGUAGCGGUGGAAUGCGCAGAUAUCAGGAGGAACACCGGUGGCGAAGGCGGGUCUCUGGGCAGUAACUGACGCUGAGGAGCGAAAGCGUGGGGAGCGAACAGGAUUAGAUACCCUGGUAGUCCACGCCGUAAACGGUGGGUACUAGGUGUGGGUUUCCUUCCUUGGGAUCCGUGCCGUAGCUAACGCAUUAAGUAC